GAUCUGUAUGAUAAAAAACUUCAAG
rnacentral:piRNA from 1 species